GCGCCCGACGGCCUGCGCACGAGCGGGCAGCGCAGGGCCCGCCCCGGGCAGCGGCAGGCGAGGCGGGAGCGGCGCGGGGCUGCCGCGGGAGGAAACAGCAACAUGAAUUCAUAGAUGAUGAGUAGGAUGCCAAAGCCAGAGAUGACAGUGCUCUUGAAGAAAUGCUGGGUAGAACAAAAAGAUGAUCAUGGGAACAGCAAUGGCAGUCAUGUAAAGAUCUUUUUACCCAAGAAGCUGCUGGAGUGUCUGCCGAAAUGUUCAAGCCUCCCGAAGGAGCGGCACCGUUGGAACACUAACGAGGAAAUUGCAGCUUAUUUAAUAACGUUUGAAAAGCAUGAAGAAUGGCUAACAACCUCCCCUAAAACAAGACCACAGAAUGGCUCUAUGAUCCUGUACAAUAGGAAGAAGGUGAAAUACAGGAAAGAUGGAUAUUGCUGGAAGAAAAGGAAAGAUGGGAAAACCACCAGAGAGGAUCACAUGAAGCUGAAAGUCCAAGGAGUGGAGUGCCUGUACGGCUGCUAUGUCCACUCCUCCAUCAUCCCCACGUUUCACAGAAGGUGCUACUGGCUUCUGCAGAACCCAGACAUCGUGUUGGUGCACUACCUGAAUGUCCCUGCCAUCGAGGACUGCGGGAAACCCUGCGGCCCCAUCCUGUGCUCAAUAAACACAGACAAGAAAGAAUGGGCAAAGUGGACAAAAGAGGAACUCAUUGGCCAGCUCAAGCCCAUGUUUCAUGGCAUUAAGUGGACAUGCAGCAAUGGCAACAGCAGUUCAGGGUUCUCGGUGGAGCAGCUCGUGCAGCAGAUCCUCGACAGCCAUCAGACCAAGCCACAGCCUCGGACACACAACUGUCUCUGCACUGGUACCUUGGGGGCAGGAAGCAGUGUGCAUCACAAGUGUAACAGUGCCAAACAUCGCAUCAUAUCACCAAAGGUUGAGCCAAGGACAGGUGGGUACAGCACUCAUUCCGAGGUACAAAACAACGAUGUCUCUGAAGGCAAGAACGAGCACAGUCAUGGCAAGGCCUCCAGCCGAGAGAAGAGGAAUGGUAAAGUGGCAAAACCGGUGCUGCUCCAUCAGAACAGCACCGAAGUUUCUUCCACCAACCAGGUGGAGGUCCCCGACACGACCCAGAAUUCCCCCGUGUCCAUCAGCAGUGGAUUAAACAGCGACCCAGACAUGGCAGACAGCCCGGCCGUCACGGGGGUGUCCAGCAUGGCUGUAGCGUCCGUUAUGGGGAGCUUGUCACAAAGUGCCACCGUCUUUAUGUCAGAAGUCACCAGUGAAGCUGUGUAUACCAUGUCACCCACCUCCGGCCCAAACCAACACCUUCUCUCCUCGGAUGCAGCUGCGCAAGGACUGGUCCUUGCUGUGAGUUCAGAUGGACACAAAUUUGCUUUCCCGGCGACCGGCAGCUCCGAGAGCUUGUCAAUGCUACCCAGUACUGUCUCCGAGGAACUUGUGCUCUCCACAACUUUAGAGGGGAACAGAAAAAUUCCAGAAACCACCAUGAAUUUUGACCCAGACUGUUUUCUUAACAAUCCCAAGCAAGGACAGACUUAUGGUGGAGGAGGUAUGAAAAAUGACAGCAUCAGUACCAACAUAAGGCAGUCACCCACAACAGAACGUAGCUUCAGCUUCAAUACAACCCUCACAAAAGAAAUCAAAACUGAGGACACAUCUUUUGAACAACAGAUGUCCAAAGAAGCAUUUUCUUCUACUUCUGCAUCUAACACUCUCACCCUCACUACUGGUUCAGGUUUGCUUCCAUCUGGAGGAGGCCUGAGCCCAAGUACCACCCUGGAGCAGAUGGACUUCAGUGCCAUUGACUCCAAUAAGGACUAUUCUUCCAGCUUCAAUCAGACCGUCCAGAGCCCUCACGUUCAUCAAACCCCUUCCCCCAGCUUCUUUCUGCAGGAUGCCAGCAAGCCUCUUCCCCUUGAACAAAACACUCACAACAAUUUGAAUGACACAAGUGGCUCCUUUGUGAACACAUUAGGAAUCCCCAGCGUGAAAACAGAAUCCUCGUCCCAAACCACUUCUAACUGUAACGGCACAGUGGAAACCAGAAUAGAGUCCACCUCUUCUCUCCAGCUCAUGCAGUUCCAAGCAAACUUCCAGGCCAUGACUGCAGAAGCUGAAGUUCCCAUGGAGACCUCCCAGCAGGCAGAAGGGAACGAAAAUCUACUUAAAUCAGGGGACCUUCAAGCCUGCAGCACAGAACACUACUUGCAGCCAGAGGCCAAUGGGGGUAUCAGAAAUGGGAACAAUCUCCCUAUUCUCCAAGGAAACAUGGUUCAAGGACUCUAUCCUGUGGCACAUCCCAGCUUAAAUAACUCCUCGAACAUGGAACUUAACUUGGACCACUUUGACAUCUCCUUCAGCAACCAGUUUUCUGAUCUAAUUAAUGAUUUCAUAUCGGUAGAAGGUGGGAGCAAUGCUCUCUACGGACACCAGCUGGUGUCAGGGGACAGUGCCGGACUGUCUCAGCCUGAAGACAGUAACAGAGCAACCUACAACCAGGCUGAAAUGUGCAUUCCUUGCUGCAGUCCUCAGCAGGCCAACAUGCAGCUCAGCAGCACCGAGAGCGGAGCCAGCACCAUGGCAUACAUGCACGUGGCUGAGGUGGUCUCAGCGGCUGCGGCACAAGGCACCCUGGGGCUGCUGCAGCAGAGUGGGCGCUUGUUCAUGGUGACAGAUUAUUCACCAGAGUGGUCUUACCCUGAGGGAGGAGUAAAAGUUCUAAUUACUGGUCCAUGGCAGGAAGCCAGCAAUAAUUACAGCUGUCUGUUUGAUCAGAUCUCAGUGCCUGCAUCUUUAAUUCAGCCAGGGGUACUGCGCUGCUACUGCCCAGCUCAUGACACUGGGCUCGUGACUUUGCAAGUUGCCUUCAACAAUCAGAUCAUCUCCAAUUCUGUGGUGUUUGAAUAUAAAGCCAGAGCCCUGCCAACCCUGCCUUCCUCCCAGCAUGACUGGCUGUCCUUGGAUGAUAACCAGUUCAGGAUGUCAAUAUUGGAGCGACUUGAGCAGAUGGAGAGGAGAAUGGCUGAAAUGACAGGCUCCCAGCAGCACAAGCAAGGGGUCGGAGGUGGGAGCAAUGGGAAUGGAAACGGAGGAACACAGGUGCAGUGCAUUUCUGGGACUGGGACGCUGGGCAACUGCUUUGAGAGCCGCGUGGUGGUGGUGUGUGAGAAGAUGAUGAGCCGCGCUUGCUGGGCGAAGUCCAAACACUUGAUCCAUUCAAAGACCUUCCGAGGAAUGACACUGCUGCACCUGGCUGCUGCCCAGGGCUAUGCCACACUGAUCCAGACCCUCAUCAAAUGGCGCACUAAACAUGCAGACAGCAUCGAUCUGGAGCUUGAAGUUGACCCUUUGAAUGUGGAUCAUUUCUCCUGCACUCCGCUGAUGUGGGCAUGUGCCCUGGGCCACAUGGAUGCAGCUGUCGUGCUGUACAAGUGGGACCGCCGAGCCAUCUCUAUUCCUGACUCCCUUGGGAGGCUGCCACUGGCCAUUGCCCGCUCUCGGGGCCACGUGAAGUUGGCAGAGUGCUUGGAACAGCUACAGAGAGAUGAGCAAACCCAGACUGGGCAAAACUCCAGGGGUCAGUGCCCCUCAAGCACAGACUCCAACACAGAGAACUGGGUGUCCCAGUGGCACAGUGAGCUCGUUGCCCCUCAGGAGCCUCAGAAGGGAGUCACUGUGAUUUCCAGUACAAACACAGAGCUGAGACGACCAAGAUCAGAACCUUCCAGCUACUACAGCAGUGAGAGUCAGAAAGAUUACCCUGCACCCAAAAAGCAUAAGCUGAGCCCUGAAUAUUUUCAAGCCCGGCAAGAGAAGCUGCUUUCCACCGCACUGAGCCUGGAACAGCCAAGCAUCAGGAAGCAGAACUCCAGCUCCAAGCAAUCUGCCACCGAGACAAUCAGCCCCAGUGAAGGGAUAAGGGACUAUGGCCGGGAGCUCACCCAGCACGUACCAGAAGUUCCUGGGUACCGGGGCUCUGGCAGCCACACAGGCAUCAAAUGGAACCCAAAAGACAUUUAUAUUGGUGUGUCUGCAGUGCAGGUGGCAGGGAGCCAGAAGGGCACUACACUGGGGAAGGAAGCUGUAGCCCAUCGGCUACGCCAGCGAGAGCAGAUGAAUGUGCUGAUGAUGGCUGACAGGGAGAUGGUGGAUGCAGAGCUCUUGUCCUAUAGGGACAGCACCGGGGAUGAGGACUGCUUACACCACGUGGACGACUUGCAGGUGAACAUGAUGACACUUGCAGAGCACAUCAUUGAAGCUACGCCUGACAGGAUCAAGCGGGAGAAUUUUGUGCCAAUGGAGUCACCCCUGGUGGAGAGGACAGACAGCGCUGCCAUGAGCACCACGAUGAGCUGGCUGGCCAGUUACCUUGCUGACGUCGAUCACCUGCCCAGCGCUGCGCAGAUAAGAAGUCUGUACAGUGAACCCUUGACCCCUUCUUCGAACACCAGCUUGAGCCCCGCAGGCUCACCAGUCAGUGAAAUAGCUUUUGAGAAACCCAGCCUUCCCUCAGCAGCAGACUGGUCUGAGUUCCUGAGUGCAUCCACCAGCGAGAAGGUAGAAAAUGAGUUUGCACAGUUAACUCUGUCUGAUCAUGAGCAGAGAGAACUCUAUGAAGCUGCCAAACUCGUCCAGACGGUGUUCAGGAAAUACAAGGGUCGUCCUCUCCGGGAACAGCAAGAGGUGGCUGCAGCUGUUAUUCAGCGUUGCUACCGAAAAUACAAACAGCUUACUUGGAUAGCCUUGAAGUAUGCACUUUAUAAAAAGAUGACACAAGCUGCCAUUCUUAUCCAGAGCAAAUUCCGAAGUUACUAUGAGCAGAAGAAAUUCCAGCAGAGCCGCCGAGCCGCGAUGCUGAUCCAGCAGUACUACCGCAGCUACAAGGAGUGCGGGAAGAGGAGGCAGAACCGCCGGGCAGCCAGCAUCGUGCAGCAGAAACUCAGAAGCAGUUUGCUUACCAAGAAGCAAGACCAAGCUGCUCGCAAGAUCAUGCGGUUUUUACGACGCUGCCGCCACAGCCCACUGGUGGACCAUAGGCUGUACAAAAGGAGUGAAAGAAUUGAAAAAGGCCAAGGAACUUGAAGACACGCAGCAGCAUCCCGUAGCAAUGUGACAUUGCUUUUCAGACUGUUUUCAUUUUCUGUUUUUAGCAGAGACAUGCAACAACAAAAAUAACCCACUGCAGUUCUGGAAAUACCAGCUGCAGGAUUUUAACAGUAAUGUUUUGGUCAUUGCAUUUGCACUUUCAUGGACAACUUUUAAUUUGUUCAGCAAGACAUCUUGGAACUCAAUCUUCUGUUGGAUCAUGGGGAAAACAAAAGACACCAGGAGGAAAAAAUCGUGAGUUGCUUCAUUCUCUGAGAAGGAAGAAGCGAUUAAUUAUCCUUUUCAUAUAGGGCUGUAUUAAACAACAUGUGGAACUGUACAAAUAUUAUACCAAAAAUAUCAUUGAGAAAAGGUGGGAAUGCACAAGCAACACAAGAAUGCUGUUCCUGCACCUGUCAGUCAUCUCCAAGACACUGAAGCUUUGGGAGUCUCAGUGGAGGGGCUUAGAUCAGUACAUCCUUAUUGGGUCCAUGCAUCCUCAUUCCCUUCGCACUUCUGUCCUUUUUGUGUUUGAUUCGAAUCUCUACAGCACACUUAAUGCAACUUUUUAAAUCUGCAGGUUUUUAAUACAUCCCGUGGGAAGUGGCAGGAGGGGUUGGUGUGUGAGGUAAACGGGUAAACGCCUGAGGAGCGAGAGAGCAGCUUGAGCAACUUUUAACAAGGGUUUUGGUUGUUUUUUUUUCCCCUUUAUGAUUUGGUAUUUUUUCCCUAGAACCUGCAAACAUACCAAGUGUCAUCGACCUUCUCUCAUGUUCAGCACUUUAUUUUCUAGCCUUACUUUCACAUGUGAUUAUUUUAACCCAAGUUCCUUCCAAUGGUUUCGUGCGACACGUAGCUUUUUAACCUUAACGUCCCUUGUCCGACCCCUUUGUCGUUCUCGCAGAGUCUCGUUCACAUUUUGUUGCCUGGACGUUUUAUACCACCUAAAGAUCAGAGUGGUGCUGCAUUCUGGCCAGUAAAUUUCUUAUUUUGGCUACUUCAUCAGAAUCUGGGCAGUUUUUCUGUAUAUAUAGAAGGUAGAAAUGGAGAAAAAAAAAAAAAAACUCUGAGAAAAAAAAAACUAUUUGAAAGGGAAUAUAUUGAUUAAUUACUAAAUAUUUUAUUCACAAAGGGUCAAUAACUUGGCAAGAUAAAAUUAUUAUUUGUAUAGUUUUGUCUGAAUGAACGGGAAGAGUGUGGAUGUAUUGUUUGUACAUAUUGUAUAUACUUAAACCCAACAACAACAACAACAAAAAAGCAAACAAAAAAACCCAGAGAUAUGUGCAUGAACUCAAGAGACAAAAAAAAAAAAAAAAAAGAAAAACAAACAAAAAGAAAUGAACAAAAGCAAAGCAUUAGUGGCUAUGGUCUGUAAAAUGAAAACAAACAAAACAAAAAAAAAACUUUAUUUCACUAUAAGAAACUUUAUUUUAAAUGUUCUUUAGAAGAACAUUUUUGCUAAAGCAUGACUCAAUGGCAGAAAAAAAAAAAAGAAAAAGAAAAAAAAAAAAGAGCUACUGUAUUUAGACUUUAGGAACAAAGAGGCAAAGCAACAUACUUUAAAACAAAAAAAAAAUUAAAAAGAAGAAGAAAAAAAAAAAGAUUUAAAAAAAAAAAAAAAGGAUAUGUUUACAUUUGAGUUUGGCUACCAGGAGUUAGGUUUGGUUGGAUUUAAUUUAUUUAUUCCUGCUUUCUUUUGUAGUCUUUUCUUUUUUCUUUCUCCCCUCCUCUUUUCCUUUGGGUUGGGUUUUUUUUUUUUCCCCUCCUUCUUUAUAUUUUUUUUCCUCCCUCUUUUUUUUUUUUCCCUUUUUUUUUUUUUUUUUUCCAAUGGUGCCAAGUAAUGUGAAUGCUAAAUCUUGCUUCAGAAAAUUAAGUUAACUUUUGCAAAGCAGAUAAUCAUAAGAGUACGACAAACGUAUUUAGCUUAACACCAUACACUCACUCCAAUAAAGGACACUUAGGAUGAACAUAAAACAGAAAAAAAAAAAUAGAAAAAAAAAUUAAAUAGUACAAAAGUAGGAAAAAUACCUUUCACAUUUUCAUAUCUCCUGCUGGAAGUCAGAAAAUGUAAUCAUCAUAAUAAUAAUGAUAAUAAUAAAAAAUUGCACACAAAAAAAAAUUAUAAAAAAAAAAAGAAGGAAAAAAACCUUUCAUAAAAACAAAACAAAACAAAAACAGAUGCAAACUGAUCUCGUAGGGGUGUCAUGGUAUAUUGCUAUUUCCACAUAGUGAGGAGCCAAAGAAAUCAGAUGUGUUGCUUUUUUUCUCGUGUGAGGAUUGAACUCGUUCCAAACUGUCACCAAGUCUCAAGCGCGGGAGCUGUGCCCUGAUCUCUGCUACGCAGCGGUGCCGAGGGAGAAGCUGCUUGCGGGGCUGUGUAGCGGCAGGGGUUGUGGGCUGAGGUCAGAAGCUGCUCCCUGCCAUGGGUGUUCUGCUCUUGGCAGUCUGAUCUCUACUGCGAAGGGAGAAGCUGCUUGCAAGGCUGUGUAGUGGCAGGGGUUGUGGUACUGUGUAGCGGCAGGGGUUGUGGUCUGAGGUCAGAAGCUGCUCCCUGCCAUGGGUGUUCUGCUCUUGGCACUCUGAUCUCUGCUGCAAAAGGAGAAGCUGCUUGCGGGGCUGUGUAGUGGCAGGGGUUGUGGUCUGAGGUCAGAAGCUGCUCCCUGCCAUGGGUGUUCUGCUCUUGGCACUCUGAUCUCUGCUGCAAAAGGAGAAGCUGCUUGCGGGGCUGUGUAGCGGCAGGGGUUGUGGGCUGAGAUCAGAAGCUGCCCCCCCCAUAGGUGUCCUGCUCUUGGCAGUCUGAUCUCUACUGCGAAGGGAGAAGCUGCUUGCAGGGCUGUGUAGUGGCAGGGGUUGUGGUCUGAGAUCAGAAGCUGCUCCCUCCACACCCAAGGAUGUUCUGCUCGUGACAGUCUGAUCUCCUACACAGCAGUGCGAAUGGAGAAACUGAUUGUGGGGCUGUGUAGUGACAGAGGUUGUGGUACUGUGGAGUGGCAGGGGUUAUGGUCUGAGAUCAGAAACUGCUCCCCCCACCGUGAGUGUUCUGCUUUUGGCAGUCUGAUCUCUACUGUGAAGGGAGAAGCUGCUUGUGGGGCUGUGUAGUGGCAGGGGUUGUGGGCUGAGAUCAGAAGCUGCUCCCCCUACACCCAAAGGUGUUCUGCUUGUGACAGUCUGAUCUCUACUAUGCAGCAGUGCAAAGGGAGAAGCUGCUUGCGGGGCUGUGUAGUGACAGAGGUUGUGGUGCUGUGUGGUGGCAGAGGUUGUGGUCUGAGAUCAGAAACUGCUCCCCCCCACCCCUCCCCGGGGGCGUUCUGCUGGUGACAGUUUAAAAAUUGGGAAGGGACUGGUGUAAAUUUGAGGUCGUUAGUUUUGGAAUAGUUGUUUCUUGCUUGAUCCCGGCCACCAAUUGCAAUGUUGAAAUGCCAGGCUUGUUGUGAAGCCUAAAAAUAUUCACACAUAAGAAGCUUUUAAACUGGUGUCUUUAAAAGAAGAGUAAAACAAAACAAGACAAAACAAAACAAAAAAACAAACAGAUUGUGGCAAAAAAAAAAAAAAAAACAAACUGGGGUCAGUGCUCUUGGUGCCUUUUCUAUAAUUGUACCUGUUUUUAAUUACUUCUUUUCACUGCCAGCAUUGAAUUACAGUAGAUGUGCUAUAGCUCAUUAUCAGAAUUCUCUUGUACAUUUCUGAACUGCUGCUUUAUGACCUGAUUCAAUUAAAAAAAAAAAAAAAAGUUAAAAAAAAAAAAAAGGAAGAAAAAAAAAAAAAGAAAAAAAAAAGGAAAAAAAAAAAAAAGGGAAAAAAAAAGGCAAAUGAGUGGCCUGGCACUCACACCCUGCCUGUGAGCAGCCUUCCUAGUCUUGAUUUGCUCUAUGGAAUUGGGACCCUGACCAUUAAAUUUUUCCCUCGCACAAAAAUAGAACCAGAGACGCCGACGAAAAUCUCCUUUGGAAUGAAUUGGGAAUGCUCUGUAUCCAUACUGGAAGAACUCUGAAAUGUUGCUCCCAUUAACCAAUACCUGACAAUAUAGAAUCGACCUUCUCCUAACAAGAGUAGUGACCUCAGUGGCAAUGUUUUAACUCCCUGUCUUUACAGAAAACGAUUCAGUAAUAUACAGAGCUAUUCAAAUUACUCUUCCAGAUCCAUGGGCCUGGUGGUGUAUCUACUAAUCUAGAUCCUGCUUCAGCCAGACGUCCGAGCCUGUACUUGCUGGUCAAGGUGCAAGCAAUUCCACGGGCGCCACAGAACUGCUUGCACGCUUGAAGCCAAGUACGGCUUCUAAGUGCUUUGUUGUGUAGGACCAUAACCCUUCAGUGUGUCACUGGGGAGCGAGAGAGAAAGAGAGAGAGAGAGAGAGAGAGAGAGAGACUCUCCCCGCAGUGAAGUGAUUCUGCUCACCCUUUUCUUGGUUGUGGAACUUUCACAGAGGAUAAGUUUCAAGUGCAGCUUUCUGGGAAAAUUCCAGUUCCCAAUAGCCAGGAGCCAGAUCUUCUGAGGGUGGAAUCGCUCCUUUGUGAAACACCAUUCGACAGCAGUGAUACUGUGUGAAAGAAAUACAGAAUAUAACAUGAACCCCCUCUCUGGUUGCACGCUUAAUGGCAGUUCCACACGAUAGCUGGUGCCCAAUGGGGGGUCCCCAAGACUUGCAUGUAAAACUAGUAUAGAUGUCUUCUCUUUUGUAAGUUUUAUUUUUGUAACCGUGCAUGUAAAGCAUCACUGAAUCAAUGGAUCUGUUGAAGAACUCAGCUGCUGGAACCAUGCAAAAUGUUUUGAAUUGCCCUUAAAAUAUGGAAAAUGUUUUCUGAAUGCUUUAUAUUCUUUCUGCUGUAAAUUAAAGACAAAGAAAAUUUCCCCAUACAAA